GAUGAACGCUAGCUACAGGCUUAACACAUGCAAGUCGAGGGGCAGCAUUUCAGUUUGCUUGCAAACUGGAGAUGGCGACCGGCGCACGGGUGAGUAACACGUAUCCAACCUGCCGAUAACUCGGGGAUAGCCUUUCGAAAGAAAGAUUAAUACCCGAUAGUAUAAUGAAACCGCAUGGUCUUAUUAUUAAAGAAUUUCGGUUAUCGAUGGGGAUGCGUUCCAUUAGGCAGUUGGUGAGGUAACGGCUCACCAAACCUUCGAUGGAUAGGGGUUCUGAGAGGAAGGUCCCCCACAUUGGAACUGAGACACGGUCCAA
rnacentral:rRNA from 1 species